GCCGGGAUGGCGGAAUGGCAGACGCAGUGGAUUCAAAAUCCACCGCCAGCAAUGGCGUCGGGGUUCAAGUCCCCGUCCCGGCACCA
rnacentral:tRNA from 1 species